AUUGAACGCUGGCGGCAUGCCUUACACAUGCAAGUCGAACGGCAGCAUGGAGAGCUUGCUCUCUGAUGGCGAGUGGCGAACGGGUGAGUAAUGCAUCGGAACGUACCGUGUAAUGGGGGAUAACGUAGCGAAAGUUACGCUAAUACCGCGUACGACCUGAGGGUGAAAGCAGGGGAUCGCAAGACCUUGCGUUAUACGAGCGGCCGAUGUCAGAUUAGCUAGUUGGUGAGGUAAAGGCUCACCAAGGCGACGAUCUGUAGCGGGUCUGAGAGGAUGAUCCGCCACCCUGGGACUGAGACACGGCCCAGACUCCGACGGGAGGCAGCAGUGGGGAAUUUUGGACAAUGGGGGCAACCCUGAUCCAGCCAUGCCGCGUGAGUGAAGAAGGCCUUCGGGUUGUAAAGCUCUUUCGGCCGGGAAGAAAUCGCACAGGCUAAUACUCUGUGUGGAUGACGGUACCGGCAUAAGAAGCACCGGCUAACUACGUGCCAGCCGCCGCAGUAA
rnacentral:rRNA from 1 species